AACGAACGCUUGCGGCGUGCUUAACACAUGCAAGUCGAACGCGAGAGGGACUUCGGUCCCGAGUAAAGUGGCGCACGGGUGAGUAACGCGUAGGUAAUCUACCCCUGUGUUCGGGACAACAUCGGGAAACUGGUGCUAAUACCGGAUACGUUUCACGGAUUGCGAGAUAAGUGAAGGAAAGAUGGCGACCCUUCGGGGGCUAUUGCACGGGGAUGAGCCUGCGUACCAUUAGCUAGUUGGUGGGGUAAGAGCCUACCAAGGCGACGAUGGUUAGCGGGUCUGAGGGGAUGAUCCGCCACACUGGAACUGGAACACGGUCCAGACUCCUACGGGAGGCAGCAGUGAGGAAUUCUGCACAAUGGGGGAAACCCUGAUGCAGCGACGCCGCGUGAGUGACGAAGGUCUUCGGAUCGUAAAGCUCUGUCAGCAGGGAAGAAACGUUUGGUGGCUAAUAUCCAUUGAAUUUGACGGUACCUGCAAAGGAAGCACCGGCUAACUCUGUGCCAGCAGCCGCCGUAACAC
rnacentral:rRNA from 1 species